rnacentral:rRNA from 1 species
GAUCAUGGCUCAGGAUGAACGCUAGCUACAGGCUUAACACAUGCAAGUCGAGGGGCAGCGGGAUUGUAGCAAUACAAUUGCCGGCGACCGGCGCACGGGUGAGUAACACGUAUCCAACCUUCCGGUUACUCGGGGNUAGCCUUUCGAAAGAAAGAUUAAUACCCGAUGGUAUAAAUUUUCCGCAUGGUUUGUUUAUUAAAGAUUCAUCGGUAACCGAUGGGGAUGCGUUCCAUUAGAUAGUAGGCGGGGUAACGGCCCACCUAG